rnacentral:rRNA from 1 species
AUGACGGCAGGCUACACAUGCAGUCAGAGANGGUACACAGGAGCUUGCUCCCUGGGGUGACGAGCGGCGGACGGGUGAGUAAUGUCUAGGGAAACUGGCCUGAUGGAGGGGGAUAACUACUGGAAACGGUAGCUAAUACCGCAUAACGUCGCAAGACCAAAGAGGGGGACCUAUCGGGCCUCUAUGCCAUACAGAUAGUAGCCCAGAUAGGGAUAUAGCUAGUAGGUAGGGGUAACGGCUACACCUAGGCGACGAUCCCUAGCUAGGUACUAGAGAGGAUAGACCAGCCACACUAGGAACUAGAGACACGGUCCAGACUACCUACGGGAGGCAGCAGUGGGGAAUAUAUGCACAAUGGGCGAAAGCCUAGAUAGCAGCCAUGCCGCGUGUAUAGAAGAAGGCCUAUCGGGUAUAGUAAAGUACUAUAUCAGCGGGGAGGAAGGCGUAGUAGGUAUAAUAACCUACAGCGAUNUGACGUAUACCCGCAGAAGAAGCACCGGCUAACUACCGUGCCAGCAGCCGCGGUAAUACGGAGGGUAGCAAGCGUAUAAUCGGAAUUAACUAGGGCGUAAAGCGCACGCAGGCGGUCUAGUCAAGUCGGAUAGUAGAAAUCCCCGGGCUCAACCUAGGGAACUAGCAUAUCGAAACUAGGCAGGCUAGAGUCUANAGUAGAGGGGGGUAGAAUUCCAGGUGUAGCGGUGAAAUGCGUAGAGAUAUGGAGGAAUACCGGUGGCGAAGGCGGCCCCCUGGACAAAGACUGACGCUCAGGUAGCGAAAGCGUAGGGGAGCAAACAGGAUCAGAUACCCUAGGUAGUACCACGCCGUAAAGCGACGUCGACUAUGGAGCGUAGUGCCCUUGAAGGGCGUAGGCUUACCCGGAGCUAACCGCGUUACACGUCCGACCGGCCUGGAGGGAAGUCACCGGGCCGCACA